UCGAGAAUUUUUCUCAAUGGGCGAAAGCUUGAAGGAGCGACGCCGCGUGGGGGAUGAAGGGCUUCGGCCUGUAAACCCCUGUCAUUUGCGAACAAACCUUUUCAUUGAACAGGUGAAAAGUUGAUAGUAGCGAAAGAGGAAGGGACGGCUAACUCUGUGCCAGCAGCCGCGGUAAUACAGAGGUCCCAAGCGUUGUUCGGAUUCACUGGGCGUAAAGGGUGCGUAGGUGGUCGGAUAAGUUCGAUGUGAAAUCUCCGGGCUUAACUCGGAAACGGCAUUGGAUACUAUUCGGCUAGAGGGUCGGAGGGGAGACUGGAAUUCUCGGUGUAGCAGUGAAAUGCGUAGAUAUCGAGAGGAACACCAGUGGCGAAGGCGAGUCUCUGGACGACUCCUGACACUGAGGCACGAAAGCUAGGGGAGCAAACAGG
rnacentral:rRNA from 1 species